rnacentral:lncRNA from 1 species
CCAGGGCUGCUGGAGGAAGUGAAGCUCCUGGAGCGCCGAGCUCCGCCGGCUUCUCCAGCCGAGUUUCCCACCGGCAGCCGCCCUCGGUCCCAGACACGCAGAGCUACGCGGUUUCCUCACCCUCUGCGCCUUCUCGCUCUUCACCUGCUCCCCCUCUGGACCAUCCUUAUUCCUCCCUGGGAUUGGGUUUCUAUGUGAGACUUUUCUUGUGACUUCAGGUUGCCCUUCUACCCCCUCCAGGCAGCGAGAUGGCGCCUUCAUGCUCUGUGCCUCUGCAGAAGCCUAUGCACGUCUCCACUUUCAGGCAGUUAACACUCACUGGGUGCAUCCUACACGCCAGAAACUGCUCUAAGUACUCGACCCGUGCAAACUCAACCGUGCAAGGCAGGUACAUGCAACGCUCAAAGCCCCCUGAGCAAGGGUUUACUUAAUUAUUACCAUCCCUGCCCUAUCUCUGGGCCCAGAGUGCGGCCCAGAGAAAUUAAGCAAUUUGCCCACGGUUACACCGCGAGUGACUGGCAGAGUCAGGAUCUCAGUCCAGUCCAGUUUGUACUUUAACCACUAGGUUCCUUUUGCCUUUCAAGAUUGACAACAGCAGCUGGCAUUUAGCAAGCGCUCCCUCUGUGCUGGGCUUUCUUCUCAACCUUUGAGUGAAUUAACUCACUGAAUCCUUCAACAACUCUCUAGGAUAAAUACUCUCAGCAUCAAAACCACCCCCUUACUGGCAUUAAGACCAUGAUGCCCCUUGGGUGGGGUGCCCGUCCUUUCCCCAUCAGCAAUCCCAAUGCCCCCCAAACCCAGAGGUUGCCGGACAUGUGUCUGCUGAAUGGGUGAAUAAACCAACAGACCUAUCCUUCCUCUUGGCUCAACAUGCAAACAUCAGGAACCCACGGUGCCCAGCAACAGCGUCUUAAGAGAAAAUUAUAAUGGAUAAUAAAUCUGCUGUGGUAAAUACACAGCCAUGAGAACUGAUGGAUACAAAGGAUGACUUAACACGCUUGUUUGCCACAUUUGGGGGCUUUUUUGGGGGGGAGGGGGCAUACCUGAGUCAUGUGGAAGUUUCCAGGGCAAGGAUGGAAUGUGCACCACAGCAGUGACAAUGCCAGAUCCUUAAUCUGUUGUGCCACCAGGGAACUCCCAUUUUGCUGCAUUUUGAAUGUGAGAUAAAGAAAUUCCUGGGAGUUCCCUUGGUGGUUCAGCGGUAAUGACUCUGACUGGUAUCCAUGAGGAUGCAAGUUCGACUCCUGGCCUUGCUCAGUGGGUUAAGGAUCUGGCGUUGCCAUGAGCUAUGGCAUAGGCCAGCAGCUACAGCCCCGAUUGGACCCCUAGCCUGGGAACCUCCAUAUGCCAUGGCCCUAAAAAUCACUAAAAAAAAGUUAAUUCCUUUAUACAUCAGAGAUUUAUUAACCAUCAGAAGAUAUACUAGCCAACCCCACGACAGCAAAAUAGGUGCAAAGGGCUGCUUUCAAGACAAUUCCCAUAAUGAGGCACAGCAAACAAAAAUAACACAUCAACUUAUCUAUAUCUUUUGUGUAGCUCUUCUGUUCUUUUCACUUGACAGCAAAUAUUAAAAACAAUAAAUAAAAAUUUUAAAUGUCACUGAAAUCUCAGAUUAAAUUCUGGACCCUAAAAAACAAAUUGGGAAUUAGUCAAUAGUAACCAGAAAAAGAAAUGAAUAGCUCCUUGGAGUCUAAGGGAAUAGUGCAAGAUUAAUUUAUUUAUCCAAGCAAUAAUAGCUACUAUUGCCUAGUUAUUUCUGGAUACCUAGUAUAAUUUUCUAACAGGUUGGGAAAUUGAUAUGAUAAGCCUCAAUUUCUUGGUUCACUGACUAAGUUUGAGAAUUACCUAGAAAGGUACUGGAAGAAAAGAAAAUACCAGUCUUUCCAAGGGCAGCUCUGUAAACAGCAAAGGAAAUCAAGCAAAACGGCAAACAGAAAGGGAUGGUAAAUGACAUUUUCUCACUACCGGCUCAUGCCAAGUGACCUGCCUAAAUUUAGGACUCCCAAUUCGACGAGGCAGGAAGACGCCGGGUCCACGAUUGUUCUUUGCAGAGAGGGAAGUUAGGGUUAAUAAUACACAGUCCUGGGGGCUGUCGUGAAAUCCAGCUGGGAAUCCGGUCAAGUCAUGCGGGAUCCCGUCUCCUGCUCUUCUUGCUGCAGCCCACUGCCUUAGGUUCCCCAAAGGAGCUGUGGAAACGUAACAGAGUCACCCAAUUCUUUAAUUAAAAAUAAGUUACUAAAAACUGUAAAGGCAAGUUGUUAGUAGGAGCUAAGCCAGCACUCAUUUGCACCCUCGCGUUCCCGCCAUUAAGAGUUUCACGUCACUGGAGUUCCCGUGGUGGCUCAGCAGGUUAAUGAACCCGACUAGCAUCCAUGAGAACGCGGGUUCGAUCCCUGGCCAGUGGGUUAAGGAUCCAGCGUUGCCCUGAGCUGUAGUGUAGGUCGCAGACUCGCUCGGAUCUGGCGUGGCUGUGGCUGUGG